AUCUAAUCAAGGGGACCUAAUCAACCCAUCCUUCCUCCCCCACUCCUCCUUCUCAGAACAAACCCACGUCCUGCCUCUACACAACUUUUCAUGGGAAUUGGCAUCUGAUAAUUAAUAAUUCUUUCUGACUUUGCAGGAGCAGUGUCAACCUCUGACCUACUUCACAGAAAGAGGUAAAGCUCUGCACUAAGCAACUCAGGAGACCUAAAAGAAGAGGACACCUGAUCAGGGACCAUCAUCUCCACCAGAUGGGCCAUUAAGAUUAGUGAGACAAGUUGUAGAUACUAUCCCCAUUCAGGAGAGAGACACAUGCACGUCCUUGCACAAGAAAAGAGAUUCUUCACCUUCUGCCAUCGUAUUGUCACAGCAGCUCAUGUUUAUUGUGAAUGACAUCUUCAGCUACAACUCAGCAUGAGCUCCAGCAUGCUGGAGCUGAACAUCCUACCAGGAAAAUCAGCGGC
rnacentral:lncRNA from 1 species